AUGAAUCAACGAAGAUUCGGGCUGCUAUGUGCCGUAAUGCUAGGUUUCGGGCAGCUCUGCAUGUUCACCGGAUUUGACGCAGAGUCGUUUAUUCUAGAGUCUGUGAUACACUCGAUUCAUGAAAGGGAGCCCGAGCGAAUCAGCAGCUAUGCUGGGUAUUAUGGCCAAGCAGUGAUCUAUGCUUUCUACAUGAUAUCCUGCCUUUUUUCCCCUUCCAUCGCUGCAGUGAGCACCCCAAAAAUCAAUUUAAUUCUCGCGGCAACUUUCUUCUCGGCAUUCCCUCUGGGCUUCCUGUUUACCAACUCUUAUUACUACUAUGCUUCAUCUGCACUUGUAGGUAUUGGUUUUGCAUGUGAGCUUUAAUGAAAUGAAUUUCAAAAUGUUUAUAAUAAUAGUUAGAGUUCAGUGUUCUAUCAAGGUCAGGGAGGGUACUUAACGUCACAUUCUACAAGAAAUACCAUAGAAUCUAAUGUCUCAAUUUCGUGGUCUGUUGGAAGUUGUUGGUGAGUUCAUUAGCGUCCGACACCUGACGGGUUCCGUCGCUGUGCCUCAUGUAGCAGUAAAAUGAAAAGUUGCAAAACUCGGAAAAUGUCGGUCGCUGUACCUUACAAUUAAAACUCUUUUCAGCAUGAUCCUAGGAUCCGCCAUCAUGGCGACAAUCACUCACUUGAGUUCAGCGACCACUGAACAUAUUAUGGGAUCCUUGAAUGUCACAAGUGAAGCUCACAAAAUGGAGAGACAGUUUGGCGAGCUGGAAAUUAACCUCCUGUUCUCUGCGUUCACUGGAAUUUCGGUUCUCGGGAUUAUCACAUUUUUUGUGAUGCCUUCCAAAGAUGUCGAGAACUGUAUCGAGAGUAGUUCUGAGAAAAAGGAAACUUUUUUGGAGGCUCUUAAACUCACCUGCUCGACACUGGUUUCCCCAACAAUGCUCCAGCUCUUCCCGCUCUUUGUGCUCAGCGGCUUCAACACCUCAUUCUGGCUCUCAGUUUUCCCGACUGCGAUGAGCUUUACCAUGCAGAACUCAAAGUUGAUCUACCUAGCAGCAGUCUAUAGUCUAGGAGUUGGUUCCGGGGAGGUUAUAAUUGGACUAGCGAUCUCAUUCCUCAGCAAGCGUAUCAAAGAUUUCGGGCAAAAGCCAACUAUGACGAUUGGCGCAAUCUUCAUCACGAUGUAUUGUGCCAUGAUCCAUAUGUCUACUCCGUACGAUGCUCCGAUUAGGCCAACUAGCAAGGAGCCACUUUUUUUUGGUCAUUCCUACCUUUUGGCCCUAAUCAUAGGCUUAUUUUGUGGAAUCGGAGAUUGCUGUGUAAAUAGUGUAAGAUCAGUGAUUUGUGCGUUGCUGAUGCCAAAAAGAAGACCACAAGCGUUUUCAGUGUCGAAGAUUUAUCAUGCUUUUGGAUCUACGAUUCUAUUCUUCAUGAGCCCCAUCACACCACUCUACGUCUACACAAUCGGCCUGCCAAUUCUCGCAAUCAUCGCCACAAUUUUGUUCUUUUCCAUUUCUAAAAGAACACAAAUUAUGGAACGGAAAAUGACGGAGGCUAGCAAAAAUGCUGCAGAAAUUGGAAAGAAACUUAAUUUUUAA
rnacentral:misc_RNA from 1 species